UCCCAACAUUAAACCGCGCCGGGAAGUACAAAUUUCCAUUUAAAACUCAAAGAUCUUGGCGGUGUCUUAAACACUCAGGGAAACCUGUCCCUUAAUUCGAUAAUCCACGAAUGUGCGAACCCCUCUUGAAAAUUCAGCCUGUGUACUGCCGUCUAAAGUAUGCCUCCGAGAGUAAGCAUGCAGAAAUAAUUAUAUCUAAGUCAGGUCAAAGUGCAGCCUAUGGGGGGUUGGUGAUGGGUUACACUCCUAAUUAGGGCUACCGAAAUUCCUAUUGAAAAAUGAAAUAAAAGCUGGACUUGAGAGUAAUGAUACUUACUAAACUAUCAUGAACCGGAAUCUAAGACAUGUACAUAUCGCCCGUCACUCUCACCGAAAGGCG
rnacentral:rRNA from 1 species